rnacentral:rRNA from 1 species
GUGCAUCGGAAACCGGGCGACUUGAGUGCAGAAGGGGAGAGUGGAAUUCCAUGUGUAGCGGUGGAAUGCGUAGAUAUAUGGAGGAACACCGGUGGCGAAAGCGGCUCUCUGGUCUGUAACUGACGCUGAGGCUCGAAAGCGUGGGUAGCGA